UUCUUUUUGGGGUAGCCUCACAAGCCCAUCCUUUCCGUGUCGUGUGACUCGGUGUUUUCCGGCACCAUUCCGCUGCUUGCCGUCCUCGCUUGGCUUGCGUGUCCCUCUCAGCCUCACUCCUCCCUGCCCACUCCGUGCGCCGUUGCACCCCUCAUCCACGUACGCUCACUCCACCGCGCGCAAGCGAACAAAAAUGAGCGCGUACACCACCGCAGCUCGCCUACCUUCGCAGGCAUACGGCUCAGCAGUCUUCGCCCAGGACGCACCGCCCUGCCGUCGAGCCGGGGCCGCGCGCCUAGCGGGCUCCUCUCGCCCAGCCUCCGGAUGCGCGCAGCCCCAGCGCAGCCCACUGCCCGUCCACACCAACAGUCCGCAGCCAGCACCCAAGGCCAGGCCGCAGGCCCCCGGCGUCCCCACAGAGCAGGCACGCGGCCCUCGUGCCACCACGCCGUGACUGGCACAAAAGAGGCGGGCGAAUCACUGACGCAGCAAAAAGUAUCUACCGCGUAAUGGGAUCUACGGACGGAGCGGGUAUGAAGAAGAGAUACUUAAGUGGUAGUGAGGUAGCGUAUAGCGCUCACGAAUGGCCAUGUGAUGUGCGUAGCUGCCGAACCAUCUUUAGCGUUAGCAGCUGCCUCUGUAAGUCUGCAGAGGCUACUAUGCUGGCUAGUGGUAGUGCAGCCUCGUUGUUCGUCGUCAUCGCACUGAGCGUGUUCAAUGCCGGCGAACGAAUAUACGCUCUUCCUACCUCCUCCUCUGUCUGACGGCCUUUUUCCUCUCUGAAUCGGGCGUGGCGCUGGCGAAUUGAAUGAAUGCAUGGGUAUGCAAG
rnacentral:misc_RNA from 1 species